rnacentral:rRNA from 1 species
GUCCACGCCCUAAACGAUGUCAACUGGUUGUUGGGAGGGUUUCUUCUCAGUAACGAAGCUAACGCGUGAAGUUGACCGCCUGGGGAGUACGGCCGCAAUGUUGAAACUCAAAGGAAUUGACGGGGACCCGCACAAGCGGUGGAUGAUGUGGUUUAAUUCGAUGCAACGCGAAAAACCUUACCUACCCUUGACAUGUCUGGAAUCCCGCAGAGAUGUGGGAGUGCUUGAAAGAGAACCAGAACACAGGUGCUGCAUGGCCGUCGU